CUUGCUCUUUUGCUGACGAGUGGCGCACGGGUGCGUAACGCGUAUACAAUCUACCUUUUACAGGGGGAUAGCCUUUAGAAAUGAAGAUUAAUAUCCCAUAGUAUGUUGACUUGGCAUCAAGAUAACAUUAAAGCUUCGGCGGUAAAAGAUGAGUAUGCGUUCUAUUAGCUAGAUGGUGUGGUAACGGCACACCAUGGCAACGAUAGAUAGGGGCCCUGAGAGGGGGAUCCCCCACACUGGUACUGAGACACGGACCAGACUCCUACGGGAGGCAGCAGUGAGGAAUAUUGGACAAUGGGCGAGAGCCUGAUCCAGCCAUGCCGCGUGCAGGAAGACUGCCCUAUGGGUUGUAAACUGCUUUUAUACGGGAAGAACCCCAUCUACGUGUAGAUGGCUGACGGUACCGUAAGAAUAAGGAUCGGCUAACUCCGUGCCAGCAGCCGCGGUAAUACGGAGGAUCCAAGCGUUAUCCGGAAUCAUUGGGUUUAAAGGGUCCGUAGGUGGAUAAUUAAGUCAGAGGUGAAAGUUUGCGGCUCAACCGUAAAAUUGCCUUUGAUACUGGUUAUCUUGAAUUAUUGUGAAGUGGUUAGAAUAUGUAGUGUAGCGGUGAAAUGCAUAGAUAUUACAUAGAAUACCAAUUGCGAAGGCAG
rnacentral:rRNA from 1 species